rnacentral:rRNA from 1 species
AAUGAACGCUGGCGGCGUGCUUAACACAUGCAAGUCGAACGAGAAAGCACCUUCGGGUGUGAGUAGAGUGGCGCACGGGUGAGUAACACGUAGGUAACCUGCCCAUUGAUGGGGGAUAGCCAGAAGAAAUUCUGGCUAAUACCGCAUAAGUUGGUAACAAGAAAGGAUGCUUCGGCAUUCGUCGAUGGAUGGGCCUGCGGAACAUUAGCUUGAUGGUGGGGUAAUGGCCUACCAUGGCUACGAUGUUUAGCUGGUCUGAGAGGAUGAUCAGCCACACUGGAACUGAGACACGGUCCAG